rnacentral:rRNA from 1 species
GAUGAACGCUGGCGGCGUGCCUAAUACAUGCAAGUCGAGCGAAUGGAUUAAGAGCUUGCUCUUAUGAAGUUAGCGGCGGACGGGUGAGUAACACGUGGGUAACCUGCCCAUAAGACUGGGAUAACUCCGGGAAACCGGGGCUAAUACCGGAUAAUAUUUUGAACUGCAUGGUUCAAAAUUGAAAGGCGGCUUCGGCUGUCACUUAUGGAUGGACCCGCGUCGCAUUAGCUAAUUGGUGAGGUAACGGCUCACCAAGGCAACGAUGCGUAGCCGACCUGAGAGGGUGAUCGGCCACACUGGGACUGAGACACGGCCCAGACUCCUACGGGAGGCAGCAGUAGGGAAUCUUCCGCAAUGGACGAAAGUCUGACGGAGCAACGCCGCGUGAGUGAUGAAGGCUUUCGGGUCGUAAAACUCUGUUGUUAGGGAAGAACAAGUGCUAGUUGAAUAAGCUGGCACCUUGACGGUACCUAACCAGAAAGCCACGGCUAACUACGUGCCAGCAGCCGCGUAA